rnacentral:ribozyme from 1 species
AGAGGUCACAAGUUUGAGGCCAUGGUAGAACUGCUCAUGAUGCAGCCAUGUCAGAUUCCAAUGAAUCUGCAAAUUCUGCU